rnacentral:rRNA from 1 species
AUUGAACGCUGGCGGCAGGCCUAACACAUGCAAGUCGAGCGAGCGGCGGACGGGUGAGUAAUGUCUGGGAAACUGCCUGAUGGAGGGGGAUAACUACUGGAAACGGUAGCUAAUACCGCAUACCAUCAGAUGUGCCCAGAUGGGAGUAGCUUGUAGGUGGGGUAACGGCUCACAUAGGCGACGAUCCCUAGCGGGUCUGAGAGGAGGACCAGCCACACUGGAACUGAGACACGGUCCAGACGCCUACGUGAGGCAGCAGUGGGGAAUAUUGCACAAUGGGCGCAAGCCUGAUGCAGCCAUGCCGCGUGGUUGAAGAAGGCCUUCGGGUUGUAAAGCACUUUCAGCUGGGAGGCGUUACCCGCAGAAGAAGCACCGGCUAACUCCGUGCCAGCAGCCGCGGUAAUAC